GAUUGUUCAAACGGUAUAGCUGGAACUGCUGGCAGAUUGGUAGUGGUGAGUCUACAAUUUUCAAG
rnacentral:snoRNA from 1 species